GCAGUUCCUGUCACGCUGCCGGUGAGCUGAGCUCUGGAAGAGGAAACUCUGGAGUUAGUUGUGAACCUCAACAAACCAUUAAGUUAUCAACAACUGGAACUACGACAGAGUUUGCUUGUUUUCCCCGCGUUGCUAAUGACAUUAGCUUAUGUGGUGUUGAGAAGAGAACUUGGCAACCAGAAAUGGACAGAGAUAGGAGCUCAGUCUACAAACAAGGACCAACAGGAGGAUAUUACAGAUAUGGACCACUUAAUCUCCAGAAAGAAAUGAGAGGGGGCUUCGACUUCAAAUAAGUAGUAACACAGAAAACAUCACUGACAUUGCUAGUCAAAACAAGACAAAAGGGAAAAAAAAAGUCAUCUGGAAAGCAGAGGCAGGAGAUCUUGCCAUCAAACCAUCCGAGGGACUGUGUUUGAGAAACGGAGACAGCGAAAAGCCCCAAAAGGCUUCGGCAGGCGUGCAGCAUUUGCCAUUUCUCCUCAUUUCCAAGAGGCGAGCAGACGACCACUGCGGACCUCGGCCUGUUGUUCCAGUCUUACAGCUUUCUAGCUGCAUCAGUUCUUUGAACAUGAAGGUUACAAUUGGAGGAACAACUUAGAAUAACAUAAUAAUACAUUAGUUUCAGCUCACGGACAAAUGUGCCACAUGCUAUUUGUCAUCAGUUCUUAGCGUUUAUUGUAACCUGUUGGGAUCCAUUUCACCCAUGGGUGCCAACCUGUACCUGCUUCAAGCAGACUCACAAAUAAAUGAUUCU